rnacentral:rRNA from 1 species
UACGAAGGGGGCUAGCGUUGCUCGGAAUUACUGGGCGUAAAGGGCGCGUAGGCGGCACUGUUAGUCAGGCGUGAAAGUCCUGGGCUCAACCUGGGAACUGCGCUUGAUACGGCAGAGCUAGAGGAUGGAAGAGGCUCGCGGAAUUCCCAGUGUAGAGGUGAAAUUCGUAGAUAUUGGGAAGAGCACCGGUGGCGAAGGCGGCGAGCUGGUCCAUUACUGACGCUGAGGCGCGACAGCGUGGGGAGCAAACAGG